rnacentral:siRNA from 1 species
CUAACUCUUCUUACCACGGACAGA